CGCCGACGACCGGCGCACGGGUGCGUAACGCGUAUACAAUCUACCUUGUAGAGGGGAAUAGCCCAGAGAAAUUUGGAUUAAUGCCCCAUGGUAUUAUUAGAUAGCAUUAUUUGAUAAUUAAACAUUUAUGGCUACAAGAUGAGUAUGCGUUCUAUUAGUUAGUAGGUAAGGUAACGGCUUACCUAGACUUCGAUAGAUAGGGGUCCUGAGAGGGAGAUCCCCCACACUGGUACUGAGACACGGACCAGACUCCUACGGGAGGCAGCAGUGAGGAAUAUUGGACAAUGGGCGAGAGCCUGAUCCAGCCAUGCCGCGUGCAGGAAGACGGCCCUAUGGGUUGUAAACUGCUUUUAUAGAGGAAGAAACACCCCCUCGUGAGGGGGCUUGACGGUACUCUACGAAUAAGGAUCGGCUAACUCCGUGCCAGCAGCCGCGGUAAUACGGAGGAUCCAAGCGUUAUCCGGAAUCAUUGGGUUUAAAGGGUCCGUAGGCGGGACAAUCAGUCAGCGGUGAAAGUCUGUGGCUCAACCAUAGAAUUGCCAUUGAUACUGUUGUUCUUGAAUACUUAUGAAGUGGUUGGAAUAUGUAGUGUAGCGGUG
rnacentral:rRNA from 1 species